CUGGGUAGCUUAGUUGGUAGAGCAGUCGCCCGGCAAGCGAAAGGUCCCGGGUUCGAGUCGUCCCGGUCCAG
rnacentral:tRNA from 1 species